CUGGAGUACAGUGGCACCAUCUCGGCUCACUGCAACCUCCGCCUCCCAGGUUCAAGCAAUUCUCCUGCCUCAGCCUCCCAAGUAGCUGGGACUACAGGCACAUGCCGCCACAUCCAGGUAAUUUUUGUAUGUUUAGUAGCAAUGGAGUUUCGCCAUGUUGGCCAGGCUGUUCUCAAACUCCUGACCUCAGGUGAUCAACCAGCCUCGCACUCCCAAAGUGCUGAGAUUACAGGCGUGAGCCACUGCACCCAGCUGCGUUAUUUCAAUUUUACAGAGUAGUAAACAGGCAGGGCAAGGUGAGGUCCCUUACCCUCGGGGACUAGUGAGCUGCCAUUUAUUCCAAGUGGCAAGCACGGCACAGACAUGUUUUUUUUUUUUUCUUCUGAGAUAGACUCUCACUCUGUCGCCCAGGCUGGAGUGCAGUGGGGAGAUCUCAGCUCACCACAACCUCUGCCUUCUGGGCUUAAGUGAUUCUCCUACGUCAGCCUCCCAAGUGGCUGAGACUACAUGUGCCUGCUACCAUUCCCAGCUAAUUUAUUUUGUUUUUUGAGAUGAAAUUUUGCUCUUGUUGCCCAGGCUGGAGCAAUGGUGCAAUCUUGGCUCACUACAACCUCCACCUCCUGAGUUCAAGCGAUCUUCCCACCUCAGUGUCCCAAGCAGCUGGGAUUACAGGCGCCCACCAGCAAGCCCGGCUAAUUUUUUGUAUUUUUGGUAGAGAUGGGGUUUCACCAUGUUGGCCAGGCUGGUCUUGAACUUCUGACCUUCAGAUGAUCCACCCACCUUGGCCUCUCAAAGUGCUGGGAUUACAGGC
rnacentral:lncRNA from 10 species